rnacentral:tRNA from 1 species
UCCUUGGUGGUCAGGAGGUAUAGAAUCUGCUUGAAAUGCAGGAGACCCAGGUUCGAUCCCUGACUGGGGAA